UAUGUGAUCGUCUCUCGCAUAUCAAUAAGCGGAGGAAAAGAAACUAACAAGGAUUCCCCUAGUAACGGCGAGUGAAGCGGGAAGAGCUCAAAUUUGAAAUCUUAAAGGGUUUCCCUUUACGAAUUGUAGUUUAAAGAAGUGUCUUCUGUUGAGGUUUUGGUAAAAGUUCUUUGGAAUAGGACAUCAUAGAGGGUGAGAAUCCCGUAUUUGACCUUUACUUUCAACUUUGUGAUACACUUUCAAAGAGUCGGAUUGUUUGGGAAUGCAGUCCAAAAUGGGUGGUAAAUUUCAUCUAAAGCUAAAUAUUGGCGAGAGACCGAUAGCGAACAAGUACCGUGAGGGAAAGAUGAAAAGAACUUUGAAAAGAGAGUUAAACAGUACGUGAAAUUGUCAAAAGGGAAGCGUUUGACACCAGUGUUGUUUUUCUGAAAAUCAAUUAAAGAACUGUUUAUGCUAAGCUGUUUAGACUUUAUCAGCUAUCUGUUUAGUUUUAGGCUUUUCUUUAAUGCACUUUUCAGUUAACAAGUCAACAUCAAUUUCUUUUGCUGUAAAAAAGCUUGAGGAAGGUGGCUUGAGAUUCGUCUUAAGUGUUUAUAGCCUCUUGCCUAUGCAGUCGGAGAGAUUGAGGUCUGCAGCGUAGAUCCUUCGGGGCUAAAUGCAUUUGUGCUAAGUUAUAGCAUUUUAUAGACAACUUGUUGACUAUGAUUUGUCUUGUAGCUUACUCGCUUAUGUUAUUUUACCUACGCUUAGGAUGUUGAACGCGCACAGAGUCUC
rnacentral:rRNA from 1 species